rnacentral:rRNA from 1 species
AGAGUUUGAUCCUGGCUCAGAAUUGAACGCUGGCGGCAUGCUUUACACAUGCAAGUCGAACGGUAACAGGUUAAGCUGACGAGUGGCGAACGGGUGAGUAAUGCAUCGGAACGUGCCCGGUCGUGGGGGAUAACGUAGCGAAAGCUGCGCUAAUACCGCAUACGAUCUGAGGAUGAAAGCGGGGGACCGUAAGGCCUCGCGCGAUCGGAGCGGCCGAUGUCAGAUUAGGUAGUUGGUGGGGUAAAGGCUCACCAAGCCGACGAUCUGUAGCUGGUCUGAGAGGACGACCAGCCACACUGGGACUGAGACACGGCCCAGACUCCUACGGGAGGCAGCAGUGGGGAAUUUUGGACAAUGGGCGCAAGCCUGAUCCAGCAAUGCCGCGUGCAGGAAGAAGGCCUUCGGGUUGUAAACUGCUUUUGUACGGAGCGAAAAGGCUUCCUCUAAUACAGGGGGUCCAUGACGGUACCGUAAGAAUAAGCACCGGCUAACUACGUGCCAGCAGCCGCGGUAAUACGUAGGGUGCGAGCGUUAAUCGGAAUUACUGGGCGUAAAGCGUACCGUCGGUGGUCGAGUAAGUUUCUUGUUUAAGCCUGGGGCCUAACUCCAGAAAGGCGAGGAAAACUACUUGACUUGAGUCUGUUCGGGGGAUUUGGAAUUCUCGGUGGAGGGGUGAAAUCCGUAGAUAUCGAGAGGAACACCAUACGCGAAGGCAGAAUCCUAGGACACGACUGACACUCAGGGACGACAGCUCGGGGAGCAAAAGGGAUUAGAGACCCCUGUAGUCCGAGCCGUAAACACUCCUUGCUAGCUGGUUCCACUCUGUGGGGCUGGCGCAAGCUAACGCGUUAAGCAAGGCGCCUGGGGAGUACGACCGCAAGGUUAAAACUCAAAGGAAUUGACGGGGGAGCGCACAACCGGUGGAGCAUGUGGUUUAAUUCGAUACGAAGCGAAAGACCUUACCCAGGUUUGACAUGUACCUGCACGGUCUAGGAAACUAGACUUUCUUCGAGAGUGGUACACAGGUGAUGCAUGGCUGUCGUCAGCUCGUGUCGUGAGACGUCCGCUUAAGUGCGGUAACGAGCGCAACCCUUAUCGUGUGUUAUAUUUGUCACACGAGACUGCCCUGGUUUCUACCAGGGAGGAAGGAGAGGACGACGUCAAGUCAGCACGUCCCUUACAUCUGGGGCUACACACAUCCUACAAUGGAGCCGACAACAGGCAGCGACAGGGCAACCUUGAGCAAAUCCUUAUAAACGGCCCCUCAGUUCGGAUUGAGGGCUGCAACCCGCCCUCAUGAAGCCGGAAUCGGUAGUAAUCGCAAAUCAGCAGGUUGCGGUGAAUACGUUCUCGCUCCUUGUACACACUGCCCGUCAAGCCAGCAAAGUUGGCAACGCCCGAAGCGGAUGACCUAAACUCGCAAGAGAUAGGCUCUUCUACGGCGAGGUCAGCGAUGAGGACUAAGUCGUAACAAGGUAACCC